rnacentral:rRNA from 1 species
GCCCAAAACGACUCUCGGCAACGGAUAUCUCGGCUCUUGCAUCGAUGAAGAACGUAGCGAAAUGCGAUACUUGGUGUGAAUUGCAGAAUCCCGUGAACCAUCGAGUCUUUGAACGCAAGUUGCGCCCGAAGCCAUUAGGCCGAGGGCACGCCUGCCUGGGUGUCACUAA